rnacentral:misc_RNA from 1 species
GAUGAAGAACGUAGUGAAAUGCGAUAAGUAAUGUGAAUUGCAGAAUUCAGUGAAUCAUCGAAUCUUUGAACGCACAUUGCGCCCCCUGGUAUUCCGGGGGGCAUGCCUGUUCGAGCGUCAUUUCACCACUCAAGCCUCGCUUGGUAUUGGGCAACGCGGUCCGCCGCGUGCCUCAAAUCGACCGGCUGGGUCUUCUGUCCCCUAAGCGUUGUGGAAACUAUUCGCUAAAGGGUGUUCGGGAGGCUACGCCGUAAAACAACCCCAUUUCUAAGGUUGACCUCGGAUCAGGUAGGGAUACCCGCUGAACUUAAGCAUAUCAAAAGCGGAGGA